CAACUUUCAGCAACGGAUCUCUUGGCUCUCGCAUCGAUGAAGAACGCAGCGAAAUGCGAUAAGUAAUGUGAAUUGCAGAAUUCAGUGGAUCAUCGAAUCUUUGAACGCACCUUGGGCUCCUUGGUAUUCCGAGGAGCAUGCCUGUUUGAGUGUCAUGA
rnacentral:rRNA from 1 species